GACGAACGCUGGCGGCGUGCUUAACACAUGCAAGUCGAACGGUGAAGCGAGUGCUUGCACUCGUGGAUCAGUGGCGAACGGGUGAGUAACACGUGAGUAACCUGCCCAUCACUCUGGGAUAAGCACUGGAAACGGUGUCUAAUACUGGAUACGACCAACCCUUGCAUGGGGUGUUGGUGGAAAGAUUUAUCGGUGGUGGAUGGACUCGCGGCCUAUCAGCUUGUUGGCGGGGUAAUGGCCCACCAAGGCGACGACGGGUAGCCGGCCUGAGAGGGUGACCGGCCACACUGGGACUGAGACACGGCCCAGACUCCUACGGGAGGCAGCAGUGGGGAAUAUUGCACAAUGGGCGAAAGCCUGAUGCAGCGACGCCGCGUGAGGGAUGACGGCCUUCGGGUUGUAAACCUCUUUCAGCAGGGAAGAAGCGAAAGUGACGGUACCUGCAGAAGAAGCACCGGCUAACUACGUG
rnacentral:rRNA from 1 species